UACGUAGGGUGCAAGCGUUGUCCGGAAUUAUUGGGCGUAAAGAGCUCGUAGGCGGUUUGUCGCGUCGGCUGUGAAAACCUGGGGCUCAACCCCGGGCCUGCAGCCGAUACGGGCAAACUAGAAUUCGGUAGGGGAGAGUGGAAUUCCUGGUGUAGCGGUGAAAUGCGCAGAUAUCAGGAGGAACACCGGUGGCGAAGGCGGGUCUCUGGGCAACAACUGACGCUGAGGAGCGAAAGCGUGGGGAGCGAACAGG
rnacentral:rRNA from 1 species